rnacentral:rRNA from 1 species
CUGAGAGGUUGAACGGCCACAUUGGCACUGAGACACGGCCCAACUCCUACGGGAGGCAGCAGUGGGGAAUAUUGCACAAUGGGGGAAUCCCUGAUGCAGCGACGCCGCGUGAGCGAAGAAGUAUUUCGGUAUGUAAAGCUCUAUCAGCAGGGAAGAUAAUGACGGUACCUGUCUAAGAAGCACCGGCUUAAUACGUGCCAGCCGC